rnacentral:snoRNA from 1 species
GCGGAUGAUUAGACAUUUUUAACCCUGAGUUCCUCGAUGAGGAAUAAAAAGCAACAACAACACUCUAAUUUUUUCAUGACG